AUGGACGUUAACGGCGAUCGUUA
rnacentral:siRNA from 1 species